rnacentral:rRNA from 1 species
AUUGAACGCUGGCGGCAGGCCUAACACAUGCAAGUCGAACGAGUGGCGGACGGGUGAGUAAUGUCUGGGAAACUGCCUGAUGGAGGGGGAUAACUACUGGAAACGGUAGCUAAUACCGCAUACCAUCGGAUGUGCCCAAAUGGGAUUAGCUAGUAGGUGGGGUAAAGGCUCACCUAGGCGAAGAUCCCUAGAGUGUCUGAGAGGAUGACCAGCCACACUGGAACUGAGACACGGUCCAGACUCCUACGGGAGGCAGCAGUGGGGAUUAUUGCACAAUGGGCGCAAGCCAGAUGCAGCCGUGCCGCGUGUAUGAAGAAGGCCUUCGGGUUGAAAAGUACUUUCAGCGGGGAGGCGUUACCCGCAGAAGAAGCGCCGGCUAACUCCGUGCCAGCAGCCGCGGUAAAUC